GAUGAACGCUAGCGGCGUGCCUAACACAUGCAAGUCGAACGUGAGAGGGUACUUGUAUCCUUGAAAGUGGCGGACGGGUGAGUAAGACGUAGGUGACCUGCCUCGAAGUGGGGGAUAACCAUUGGAAACGAUGGCUAAUACCGCAUAAGCUGGUGACGAUGGGAAUUGUUAUCAGGAAAGCUUUAGUGCUUUGAGAGGGGCCUACGGCCGAUUAGCUAGUUGGUGAGGUAAAGGCUCACCAAGGCGAUGAUCGGUAGCUGGUCUGAGAGGACGAUCAGCCACACGGGAACUGAGACACGGUCCCGACUCCUACGGGGGGCAGCAGUGAGGAAUAUUCGGCAAUGGGGGCAACCCUGACCGAGCAACGCCGCGUGGAGGAUGACGGUUUUCGGAUUGUAAACUCCUUUUCUCAGGGAAGAGCGAGGACGGUACCUGAGGAAUAAGUCACGGCUAACUACGUGCCAGCAGCCGCGGUAAGGCACGACUGU
rnacentral:rRNA from 1 species